rnacentral:rRNA from 1 species
UUAAGUGAAUAAGGGCGCACGGAGGAUGCCUUGGCACUAGGAGUCGAAGAAGGACGCGACAAACGGCGAAACGCCUCGGGGAGCUGUAAGUGAGCAUUGAUCCGGGGGUAUCCGAAUGGGGAAACCCGCUAGUGGUUAUACGCUAGCACCAUAUGGUGAAUACAUAGCCAUAUAGGAGACAGACCCAGGGAACUGAAACAUCUAAGUACCUGGAGGAAAAGAAAGAAAAAUCGAUUCCCGUAGUAGCGGCGAGCGAAGUGGGAAGAGCCCAAACCGGAUUUAUCCGGGGUUGUAGGACCUUCAUAAUUGACAAAUCAUGAUAGCCGAAUGGUCUGGGAAGGCCAACCGUAGGGGGUGAGAGUCCCGUAGGUGAAAUUGUGAGAUGCAUGGAAGGAAUCCUGAGUACGGCGGGACACGUGGAAUCCCGUCGGAAUCAACGAGGACCAUCUCGUAAGGCUAAAUACUACCUAGUGACCGAUAGUGAACCAGUACCGUGAGGGAAAGGUGAAAAGAACCCCGGGAGGGGAGUGAAAGAGAACCUGAAACCAUAUGCCUACAAGAAGUCAGAGCCCGUUAAAGGGUGAUGGCGUGCCUUUUGUAGAAUGAACCGGCGAGUUACUGUAUGGAGCGAGGUUAAGCAGGAUAUGCGGAGCCGAAGCGAAAGCGAGUCUUAAGAGGGCGCGAGUUGCAUGCAGUAGACCCGAAACCGGGUGAUCUAGCCAUGACCAGGUUGAAGUUGGGGUAAAACCCGAUGGAGGACCGAACCGACCCCCGUUGAAACGUUGGCGGAUGAGUUGUGGCUAGGGGUGAAAUUCCAAUCGAACCCGGAGAUAGCUGGUUCUCCCCGAAAUAGCUUUAGGGCUAGCGUCGAGAGAAGAGUUGCGUGAAGGUAGAGCACUGAAUAUGUGAUGGCCCCAUCUCGGGGUACUGAGCAUAAUCAAACUGCGAAUGUCACGCCAACAUGCUCGGCAGUCAGACAGCGGGUGAUAAGGUCCGUUGUCAAGAGGGAAACAGCCCAGACCAUCAGCUAAGGUCCCAAAAUGUAUGCUAAGUGGAAAAGGAUGUGGAGAUGUACAGACAACUAGGAGGUUGGCUCAGAAGCAGCCAUCCUUUAAAGAGUGCGUAACAGCUCACUAGUCGAAUGACUCUGCGCCGAUAAUUUACCGGGGCUAAGCAUACUACCGAAGCUAUGGAUCCCAAGGGAUGGUAGGGGAGCGUUCCAUGAACGGAGAAGUACGACCGAAAGGACGUGUGGAGAUCAUGGAAGAGAGAAUGCCGGUGUGAGUAGCGGAACGUGGGUGAGAAUCCCACGCACCGAAAACCCAAGGUUUCCAGAGGAAGGUUCGUCCGCUCUGGGUAAGUCGGGACCUAAGGCGAGGCCGAAAGGCGUAGUCGAUGGACAACAGGUAGAGAUUCCUGUACCCGUAUAUAUGUGAAGGAAUGACGGAGAGAGGAAGCUGCAGCCAGCGGCUGGAAGAGCUGGUGCAAGCGAGAUAUCGGGAUGGCAGGCAAAUCCACCAUCCGAAACGAGAAGGCGUGAAGCGUACGGAAAGCUACGGCGAGUACGGAAGGCAGUGGAGGAACUUCCAAGAAAAGUUUCUAACGUUAAGUAUAUAUGGCCCGUACCGAAAAUGGACACACAUGGGUGAGGAGAGAAUCCUAAGGUGAGCGAGAGAACUAUAGCUAAGGAACUCUGCAAAAUGACUCCGUAACUUAGGGAGAAGGAGUGCUCAUAGAGAUAUGAGCCGCAGUGAAACGGCCCAAGCGACUGUUUACCAAAAACACAGCUCUCUGCUAAGCCGCAAGGCGAAGUAUAGGGGGUGACGCCUGCCCGGUGCUGGAAGGUUAAGGGGAGGGGUUAACGCAAGUGAAGCCCUGAACUGAAGCCCCAGUAAACGGCGGCCGUAACUAUAACGGUCCUAAGGUAGCGAAAUUCCUUGUCAGGUAAGUUCUGACCCGC